UGUCACUUGCUCACCCA
rnacentral:misc_RNA from 1 species